rnacentral:rRNA from 1 species
UCUCUAAGCCAUGGUAGAGACGCGGCGUACGGCUCAGUAACAUGUGGCUAACCUACCCUUAGGACGGGGACAACCCCGGGAAACUGGGGCUAAUACCCGAUAGGUGAGGAGGCCUGGAAUGGUUCCUAGUCGAAAAGGCGUUGAAACCAUGCUUUUCGACGUCGCCUAAGGAUGGGGCCGCGCCCGAUCAGGUUGUUGGUGGGGUAACGGCUCACCAAGCCUAUAACCGGUACGGGCCGUGAGAGCGGGAGCCCGGAGAUGGGCACUGAGACAAGGGCCCAGGCCCUACGGGGCGCAGCAGUCGCGAAAACUCCGCAAUGCGCGAAAGCGUGACGGGGCUACCCCGAGUGCCGUCCGCUGAGGAUGGCUUUUCCCCGGUGUAAUGAGCCGGGGGAAUAAGGAGAGGGCAAGUCUGGUGUCAGCCGCCGCGGUAAUACCAGCUCUCCGAGUGGUAGGGAUGAUUAUUGGGCUUAAAGCGUCCGUAGCCGGCUUA